UCUCUCCCAUUAACCUAUAUAUUCACUCUCUCCUCAGUCGCCUUUCUCUCAUCUCGUUACAAUCAAUCAAAAGCCAAAGAAGAGUUUUCUCAUCUCUCAUUUCUGGUACCGAUUCUGCCACAAACAUCUCUGUUGAGCCUUUCACUGGACCUUCAAAGAAGGGUUGGCGAGGCACCUAUCAGUAGAGAAUCAACUUUGCAAGGAAACAAUUCCGGACAUCCUAGUACUCUUUGGCAGCCCAAUUGAUUGCAGGUCAAAGAACCUCUGAGAUGGGCUGGAAUUAGCCUCAGAAGGAUAUGGAUAAGCAGUGAGAAACUAAUUUGGUUAGCCCACCAUAUCCCAAUUAUGAAUUAUAAUGGCAAGCCAGUGAAAAUCCCUUUAUUAAGAGGCAGCCAUCUGCAGUUCUGGAUAGGGAAAAAGAACCCAAGAAGCUUUCUCAGCCCUCGCCAGAGAAUAUAGUUCUUUACUCUAAGGAUCCUCAGUUUGAAAUUCAAGGUCCUUUCUCUGGUAGUAAUAUUAUUGGAUGGUUUGAGGCUGGAUGUUUUGGGAUAGAUUUGCAAGUCCAGCUUGCAAGUACAUCAAAAGACUCGCCCUUUUCAUUACCAUCCAGGUUUGCUGCACCAGAACAAAAUGAAUUCAUAGAUGCAUCGAGUCUAACCUUAGUAGCUGUGAAAGUGUUCAUUCUGGAGAUGCCAUAAGAUUGAUGGACUUUGCUUGUAAAAAAUAUUGGUUAACCUUAUAUAUUUUCAAUCUGUUGCAGAAGCCAUAGACUUCAGGCUUACGUGUGAACAUAAGUGUGCUAGACUUGUUGGGGCAAAAGUUAUCAAUUUGCAAUUUUAUGGUCUGCCAUAA